rnacentral:tRNA from 1 species
GCCCUCUUAGCUCAGUCGGCAGAGCGUCUCCAUGGUAAGGAGAAGGUCUAGGGUUCGAUUCCCUAAGAGGGCU